rnacentral:rRNA from 1 species
UACGUAGGGACCGAGCGUUGUCCGGAAUCAUUGGGCGUAAAGAGCGUGUAGGCGGCUAUUUAAGUCCUGCGUGAAAUCCUGCGGCUCAACCGCAGACGGUCGUGGGAAACUGGAUGGCUAGAGUGCGGGAGAGGAGAGUGGAAUUCCCGGUGUAGCGGUGAAAUGCGCAGAUAUCAGGAGGAACACCAGCGGCGAAGGCGGGUCUCUGGGCCGUUACUGACGCUGAGGAGCGAAAGCGUGGGGAGCGAACAGG